UCAAAAAAAUCCACACGUCAAGGCUACGUGGAAAAUCACGUAGAUUCCAAAAAAAUGAAUUUUUCUCUAGUUUACCUGACGACGGUAACAAUCACCGAGACGUAGAUAUAUAUGAAAUGAACCCUCCAUAACAUUUACUGUUGGAGAACAUCACUCUUACGUGAAAAGAACGUACGGGUGAAUGAACCGAAAUUUUGACAGUUCAACUUCUAGUUCAUUCUGUGUUAUGGUGAGUUGAAAAAUGGCCGGUCGUUGAAAGAAAAAAUGCAAGUUUGACUCCAAGAGCUUCAAAACCGCAUACAAUAUUUAAAAGAUGGCUGAGCGGAGAGUGCGGCACCUUUAACGGCAGUCGCGUUUUGAUCAAUCACCUAUAAUGUACCCCGUUUCGGACGAAAGGCAGUAUCGUCGACACGCAAGUAUCUAUUUUUUGCAAAUCCAACGUUGGAAGCGGAUCUGGUGGUCUACAAACGGGUUGCAAGCGGAUUGAGACCACGAUGACAGGCGGAAUUCGUCAGUUUUUUCAAUGUGUAGCAAGUGUUUUUUCGUGGUUGAAUAAAUGUUUAAAUGUAA